GGUCAAGCUAGAAAGGGCGCAGGGCGAAUGCCUUGGCACUGGGAGCCGAUGAAGGACGUGGUAAGCUGCGAAAAGCUUCGGGGAGGCGCAAACAGCCAUUGAUCCGGAGAUAUCCGAAUGGGGAAACCCACACGGGGUCAUGCCCGUGUAACAUACACUGAAUCCAUAGGUGUAUGUGGGGAACCGCCUGAACUGAAACAUCUAAGUAGGGCGAGGAAAAGACAUCAACCGAGAUUCCGUAAGUAGUGGCGAGCGAACGCGGAAGAGGCCAAACCAAGGGUAGAAAUACCUUUGGGGUUCGGACCGCAUUUAGGAUCUGUGAGUUUUAACCGAAGUGUGUGGGAAAGCACACCGAAGAGGGUGAGAGUCCCGUAGGUGAAAAGACAAGCAGCCGAGCGGUAUCCAGAGUACGGCCGGACACGUGAAACCCGGCCGGAACAUGGGGGGACCACCCUCCAAGCCUAAAUACUACCCAGUGACCGAUAGCGUAUAGUACCGUGAGGGAAAGGUGAAAAGUACCCCGGGAGGGGAGUGAAAUAGUACCUGAAACCCUGUGCCUACAAGCACCGAGAGCGCGUCAACGCGUGAUCGGGUACUUUUUGUAGAACGGUCCGGCGAGCGAAUGUAUGCAGCGAGGUUAAGGUAUUCAGUACCGGAGCCACAGCGAGAGCGAGUCUGAACAGGGCGAAUUUAGUUGCAUGCAUUGAGCCCGAAACCGGGUGACCUAUCCAUGGUCAGGUUGAAGUGGAGGUAAGACUCCAUGGAGGACCGAACCGACCUCCGUUGAAAAGGCGGCGGAUGAACUGUGGAUAGCGGAGAAAUUCUAAUCGAACCCGGAGAUAGCUGGUUCUCCCCGAAAUAGUUUUAGGACUAGCCUCGUGUUAGAUUACCGCAGGUAAAGCACUGAAUGGUCGCGGGCCCGAGAGGGUACCAACACCUAUCAAACUCUGAAUGGCGGAUAAUUGAUGCACGGGAGUCACACAGUGUGAGAUAAGUCUCAUUGUGGAGAGGGAAACAGCCCAGACCUACAGCUAAGGUCCCAAAGCAUGGUUAAGUGGAAAAGGAUGUGGAGUUGCGCAGACAACCAGGAUGUUGGCUC
rnacentral:rRNA from 1 species